UCUGCGGCUAUUAUUAAAUCUUCCCAGCCGCUCAUCUGGAUUACAUUUAAGCUCUCACGGCGUUUGUUUCCCCUCUAAUUAAGCGUAGUUUCAAAACAGAGCAUGUCUGAGGAUGGAUCUUUCUUCGGCUUCUAUUUAAAAUGUAGAGACAGCCCUGCGCUUUACUGUGCGCUGCUUCAGCUGCCGACUUAAAAUCCUUCCUGAACAUCCAGAUAGGGAACUUGCAUGAAAUGUGAACGUCCAUUCUUCCACCUCUCUCCCCGGGCAGGAUGUCAUCCUGCCCGGUACUCAAAGGGAACCGAAGCAAGAAUGCAAGACAUGGUGAAAUUUUAGAAGUAGUCCAAGGUGGAGGACGGGAAGGUCCCAUGUCAGACGACGACUCACAAUUUUUUUCUUUUUUUUUUUUUCUUUCUACCUGCGUAUGUACAGCUACAAAAGUGAAAUAAGUACUAAUUGCCCAAUGGGAUUCAAAAGGCUCUUCAGAUAUUUUAUAGCUGUAAUUUGCAUCCCCUCUACAUGCCCUCGUAGUAAAAGAGCCCAUAUUAAUAUUAUAUUAAACGUUAAUGCAAUUGCUGAGUGAGAAGAAUGCCCUUAACAGCAUUAGGCUGUUGAGAAGCAUUUCUAUAGGCACAACCUGAAUGUCCGGGCCGGUUGCAUGACAACAAGGAGAGACAUCAUGAAAUUAAGAGUAGAAACGACCCGUUAAGUCGUCUAAUCAGUGGGCUACUUUGGCUAGCAUCUCACAAUAGUUUCCAGCAUUUCAUUUUACAAGCCCUUUGUCUACCAUUAAAUGCCUGUAAGUGGCAAGGUGACAGCCCUUCCCUGAAGCUCUAGUUUUACAUCUGAGCUUGCAAUUAAUCGCAUUUUUCUCUGAUAUGGGAAGUAUUUCAGUUUCAACACAUUGCAUUGUCAGGAAAGAAUUAAAAGGAUCAGGCUUUUUGCAUUGGUUAAGCUAUGAAAUUACCAGAAAUAACAAGCCUUGAUAAAGAGCAUGUUACACCCAGAAUCCGAGACCAUUUUCUGCUUGCAUACCGAACGCAGGUGCACACACCAAGCAUGCACUUCACCCAUCACGGAGGUGCAAGCCUCUCUGGUGGCACUCAGCCAGCAGUACUGGGGCACUGCAAAAUUACCCAGCAGGUUAGGACAGAUAAAGAAAAAAACAUCUCCCCUACACUAAUGAAGCCCAUGCUAGCACAGAAGAUAUGUUAGCACGGGCUUUAGUCCAGCGUAUCUCUCUGCACAUGCAGUAGCUGGUAGCAUUCACCAAAACUUUCCCUGUCUUCACUGUUAUGUGUGCCGCACCUGGCAGCUCCCGCAUUGAGCUACAGUUAUGCCUUCGUUUUGCUGCACAGACAUACUCUGCGAUUGCAUCACUACUUCUACAGGAACUUGGAUUUUACACGUCAGUGUCCAUGCCAGAGAUCUCCCUGAAGAACUACUGUCUGGAAAGAAAAUACUUCUAUUUCUCCUCGAGGGCUGCUUUACUAUCAAUACAGAGAUAGUGGAAAUUUAGGAAGCCUUAACAAAGCUUCUGAUAUUAAUGCAUCGUUUCUCCACAACGGUGCUAAUUUUACUGCUUAUCUCUGUUUUACAACCAAGAAUCCAGCUGUCAUAAUUACAAGGCAAGCUGCACUUUAGCUGCUGUGGCAGCCCAGCAUGCCUGCACCCCCAAGCGGCAGGCUUGCCUUUUUUUAUUUUUCUUGAGGGAAUAAUCCCAUAAUGCAGCCCCUUUAUUUCCCCAAUUAGAAUAAAUCUAAAGGGCCUAACUACAUUUGGUACUGGGAAGCCUUUUUCCACUGAGAGCCUGUGACUAGCAGCUGAUUAAAAUGACACAGAAAUAGCUUCUUCAAAGCCAGGCAUUGUUUAUUCAGCCAAAAGGGAUGAAACAACAAAAGGCUUUUAUGUUUGGUUCUUACCUAAAGUGCAAUGCCUUUUUGUUUUCAGAUUUUGAAUAAGUUUUAUUCAGCAAAAUCUAUCUUCCCCACCUCAGAGUAAUCGGACUGUUCCUGCAGCUUUCUUGCUGUCCUUCUCUGCCUGGCUCCCCUUCACGUGCUGCUUCCUUCUGCUUGCUCCCCUGCAUUUCGGGAAGGAGCCUGGCUCGGGGAUGCUGCAGGAUCUCCCCUUCAUCCAGUGCCUUCCUUCUAGCUCAGUCGUUUUUCUUAGCACAGAGCAAUGCCAUAUCCUGCUCCAGCUCAGUGCUCUGAGAAUGGCUCCGAGGUACAGAUCAUUCCUUCGUCCCAACUCAAAGGUAAUAAUUAUUUGCAUCUAGGUUUUCUUAAUAUGGAUUUCCUGAUAUGUAUAACCCAAACCUAUUUACUGUGCUAGUCUGAGUUCCCAAGUCUCCCUGGGCUAUUGUGCUAUGGGCCCUCAAUUCGUCAGUGCUACAUCACCAGCGUUGUCAUUGGGGUUGUUGUUGUUGCAGCAUGUCGCAGAACUCUCCACUGUAGUGACCAAUCCCUGACCUGACCUUCUUGGUGGAGAGGCUGACCUGGUGUCCUUCAUUGUCCUCUAAAGUUCAGAAAUGGUGGAUUUUUGCCAUUUGUUGUAUACACCUUUCUUGAAGCAACUGCCUCACUUGACGGUGGGAAAAACUGCCUUCUGACUCUGCUGCCAUUUAUAAGUACUAUAGGUAUGUAAACAUCAUUUUCAUAUGGGAAACCCCAAGACAUCUUGAAGGUUCUCUUUCCCUUACUUGCUUACAUAUCUGCAAAUCCUUAGUGACUUCCCAACAGUGAAGGCACUUGGCUGAAAUACAGACGAAAUGGGGCUGGAAUGGCAUAAGCCAUUGCAGCUCAAGCUGACAGUCUCACUUUUUAUAUGAAUUUUGAUAUUUAUAACAAUAUAUAAAUAUUACAUUUUUAUAUUUGUAUUUUGAUAUUUAUCUGUAAUGCAAAAUUCUUCCUUCUGUCAUGUGAAUUCAUGAUGCGCUUCAUGUUCUGGAUUUUAGUACUGAAAUGGGUUCAAGGGGUCAAGAACAAUUUUGCAUCCAGUUUUUUUAACUUCUUCCAUCUAAAUGGUCAGCACUGUUUACCAUGAAUUUCUGCCUAACAGGAUUACCAGAUAGGGACUGUGAAAACUGUCUAAAUGUGCAACACCCGAUGCUUAGGCUAAGGAUCCCUGGUUCCUUGAUCUUCUGGAAUGGAAGGGGCAGAGCGAAGAGACAGAUCAACUGCUGCCUUUCAAAGGGAAAACACAACAUUGUCAGCUUCCUUGAGGAUGGGCAAGAGCUAUUCCACAGCUGAUAAUGUCCCCAUUUUUUCCUUCAUCUUCCUUUCAUUAGUACUUAUUUUUCCUCCCCUGUUGUCUGCAAUAUUUCCUGUCCUACCCCAAAUGCUCAAAUUAUCCCUUUGAAGUCCUGCAGUACAUUAAACAGGAAAAAAUUAUAACCAUUACAAAUGUAGGCAGCCACGUCAUUUGCCACACUGCCCUUAGAUAAAAAGCCAUCAGGAAAGGAACAACAACAACAAAUCUUAAUGCACAAAAUGAACACAUUUUUAGCAUAAGAAAUAGAAUAAUGCUUCAUGUUUAAUAGUAGUGACAUAAGGUCUAAUAUUUGUUACACAAAAGGUGAACUGAGUAACUCCCAUCUGUGCUGCAGUAGUAAAAGAGUAAGAGCUUAACCUUACUGUUCGCCAACCUCUUGCCAAUUUUAGAAGUCACCUAGUAAACAUUAAAGUAACCUGUCAAUUACCCUAUAACACCUUUAGGGUAUCUUGGAUACCAGCUUUGCUUAGGAGAUUAGCUUUAUCACUGGUUCCCAUCAAAGCAUUGGCCAGAUUUGAGCCUUCUUAAAGUGAGAGAUCCAGACAAGCUCAGCGCCCAGGGCGUACAGGCAGAGAUUAUAUUGCCACCUCAAUUAUAAUUAGCACUAUAAAAAGCCACUGCUGCACACAAGCAGUGGAACUUUCCAUAAUGUUUUCUAAUAAUAUGUACUUUGUUCAUCAGGGAUUUGUCGUACACCAUUCACCAUAACUGGCUACUCUGAUUCUGCGAGUCAUUGGCGUAUAUGUGCCUCAGAGAAAAGAACAGAUACUACAUCUGUCUGUCACCACCACCGCAACACUGCCAGAAUUAUUCUUUUGGUUGACACUGCCUCUGAAAAAGGGAACAAUUCAUUCUUUUAUCUCAUCCCAAACAAAGCCUGAUCCACCACUUCUUGAACAUGCAAGGUUUCCACUUAAGUCAACGUGGGGUUUUGUUGCAUAAAGCAUGGAAGAUCCUGCUUCCCUCAAACCUUUCUGGCUCAAAAGAAGUGUCAUGUAAUGCUGCAUCACAGGAAAGGGAGAGAAGUGGCUGUGCAACACAGGGAAACAAACUCCAUUUUAAAAAAAAAAAAAGUACUUCUUUCCAACUUCUGUAGCAUGGAUUUUUUUGACUCUUUAUAGAAAGGAGGCAACAAAAUCAGUGCCAUGAUUGGUUUUGAUUCCCCUUCUUUUAACUUGGAAAUAAGCCUUUACUGUCUACAGAGGACAGAUAUUUAAGAACCCCGUGCAUUGGCUAAAUGUCUGAGUAUGUUAUAAAAUGAAUCCUUUGCCACCCAUAAUGUGAGUGCGUAAUGUGCACAGGAACAUAAAAGAGGAGAAGGGUACACAGGCUAAGGUGUGAGAGCAACCCCUGAAAUGAAGUAUUCUUACGUUUUGUUCCACAUAUCCUUCAGCACACCACUGAAGUUGUGGAAAUAGAUGCUAAUUAAUUUCAGCUGAAAUUAUUCCCUGCCCACUUGUGAAAGGAAGAAAGUUAGCAAUUUAGAUUUAUGGAAAUGGUGAACAGCGGUUCUUUUGGCAGCAGAAAGACACGUAGAAGCUGAGUGCUAAUGUGCUUGUGUCUGUUCACUGCCGCUACAGACAGUUCGUCACCAACACCACGUGAUUCCUCUACUUUCUACGUAGGAAGGUCUGAGUUAAACAUCAAUGUCACUCCUCUGCAUUGCUGAUGUUAAGUUAACAAGGCAAAGAUGCACCCCGAUAAAGUGUCACUUGCAGCAAGCUGCACAUGGUGGGUCUUCUGAUGCGGGUGCAGAUUGGUUUCUGCUCAAGACUCUGUGCCAGCAGGCAGUGAAGCUGUGAGACUGCAGUUCUCAGGUGAGCCCAAGUCCCUUGGAUGGAGAACUACAGGGUGCCCAUGGUUCUUGAGAGGAUGAUGAGCACACGGAGAGUCCAUGACACUGCUUAACCGCAUGCUUUGCUGCCUACAUCAGUUUAUAAAAUGCCUUUGCACUUGAUACUGAGGAGUCGUCUGACUGGCAUCCUGGAUAUUAUGUUUCUUUGCCCUCCAUGCCCUCCUGCAUUCUGCUUUCAGCUGCAAACAAGUGUACUUAAAGGAAAUCAGUGAGUGGAAGAGAGACUAUGUGAUUGAACAACCCUCGGUUCCUUACGAACCCAAGUUAACACACACCUCUCUCCUUUUCGAGUUUGUUGCUCUCUGCGCUGGUGCAUGAUUCCUGUUUUCUCCACUUGCACACUGACUGACUUGCACCAGUAAGGAUUGUUCUGCCCUGCUCUGUUGUACUCCCUGUUAGGGAAGAGCUAAACCAUGAUCAUUAAUGGGAGCGUCAAGUCACUAUCAAACACAUAUACACGUAUACCAUUCUAAACAGCCAUUUAGAGAAAAGGCAGCAACAGUUCUUUGAAAUCUCCAGCAAAGUUCGCCUUGCUUCUCAUCCCUCAAUAUUAGGACCUAUUAGCACCCUGAAUCAUUGCAGGAACAUCUGUGAAGUACAGCCCAGCAAGCCAGGUUUGCAGUAGCUGGAAGGAUUCAUUCUCAUGCAAUAUAUGUUGCAGUCUUUGAUAUCCGAGUUCCCUGGUGUUGCUACCACUUGAUCAAAUGAGUCUGAAGCAGAAUUUCUACAAAAUACGCAAGGGCAGUGGUAGAAGAAAGCUGAUAGGAUUCCAAAUACAGCUUUUUAGAUGCAAAGCUGAAGUUCCUACCUUAAAUCUGUAAUGACCAAGGUGGUGUUUCGGAUUUUUUUUGCUUCAGUGCUACAUAAAUGCUGAAGUUGCAAUUUUGCAAAGUUAAAUGUGUUACACCAAGGCCUGCAUCCUACUGUUAUUUAUAUUAGAAUUCUGAGGACAACACUACGAAUGAAUUUGGUGAAAGAGUUUGUUUCAGAUACCUACAAAAGAUAUUUUCGUCUUAGCAAGAAAAUGCUUUAACUGUUUAAACUGUAAGCAGCUCUUACGGUGUGUGAGGCUGCUUUUCCCUAAAUGUGCUGUUGCAGAUCAUGCCAGUAAAUAAGAAGUCUAUUCUUUUUUUUUAAUUAUUAUUGAUUUUUUUUAUUCUGAGAGGAAAAAAAGAGAUUGGAACAUAAUUUUUUAAAUUAUUUUUUCUUACUUUCAGCACUUAUAUUGCACAGUUAGUUUUAACAGCUCAUUCAAACUGAAUUUCAGAACCCAGGGGAGGAACCAUUAAAUCACAAUAAAGUAUUUAAUGGAGUUGUGCCAUCUGCAUUUCAGAGACUUAACUGCAAACUGAGCCAAAGAUCUUGUGAUUUCAGAAUAAGAGAAUAUUAUUAGAGCCCAGAGACUUUUGACACCUGGUCUCUCAUGGUGGAGUGCAUUUCAAAUCAACAUUACACACACUUAAUAGAUUUCAAUUACUGGGUUUGUGUGAAACAAGAAGACAACUAACCAAAACUUUUUCUUUCAUCUUCUGAUGAGCUGGCAGCUUAUCAUGACAUUUUGUAAAUCAUUCAGGUUGGAAUUUGACAAUGUGAGAGAUUUUAGGAAUACUUUUAUGCCACUGCAGUGAACUGACAGAGCCAUCCUGUCUCGAUGUAUGACAACUUUUCCUUAUCAUAUAAAAUUAUUUUUAAGUGUUCUUGGUUUUAUGUGUUGUUUUGGGGUUUUUUUUAAUAGUUUUUGUUUGGUUGGUUGGUUUGGUUUGGUUUGGUUUCUUGAGGGAUGACCUAGAGAUGUGUGUUAGAAAUUUAUAUUCAUCACAAAAAAAAAGAAAAAAAAAAAGUUGAAGAAAGGAGAUGUGCUAGUUCCAGUUAAAUUUCUGAAAGGUAAUAUUUUUCAUGACUGGUAGAACAUUUUUGUGCAAGAUGGAAAAGGGCAUACUCAUCUAAAGAAGACACAAGAUCCUCUUUUCUUUUCAGAUUGUUAGUGGUACAGCAGCCAGAAAACUUGCCUGACACAAAAUGCUGAGAUUCCUACCUGUACUCUGAUUCAGGCAAUACAGCUGCUUCGUCUGGCUUUCUGGUAUUUCAAUUAACUAUCCUGACUAUUUCUUUUCCCUCAGGGAUUCCACUUUUCCAAUGAGUACUCUGGUUCUCAUGAUAAUUUUGAGAAAUCUUCAUUUUGUCUUAUUUGAUUUUAUCUCUAUUGACAGUCAAAACAUAUUUUCCAGACAGCUGUUGUAGAGGCUGGGGUUUGAGGCUGCACUGCAUUAGAGGCUCUGCCAAGGUGCAGCAGCAACAGGCUCUUCCCUUGAGGAUUCCCAGCUUAAAAUUACAGCCAAAAAGACAAAGUGCAGGAGAGAAACAAAGUGAAUGGUCAGAAGAAUAAGUAAACUAACAAAAUAUUUUAUGAUAAAAUAAGAUAUAUUCAUGCAAUUCUUUUUCUGUUUGUGGUAUUACUUGUAUCGGCCAUUGGUAUCAGUAAAGAAAUCAUCUGGAGAUGACUUCGGUUGUCCAAGUUAAAAGCUCCUUCAGCCCUCAGACUGACAUCUGUAUCCUCACAGGAACCUCUUAAGGAUUGUGCGGGUCCCAGAGCACCAGCCAUGUCGUCUCUUUUGAGCUCAAUAUCAGGACAUCUCUCCCUGGAGCAGGAGGUUGCUGCAGUACUGUUUUACCCCACUAGUAGUCAAUUUUAAUAAUAGUAAUAGUAAUAGUAAUGGUAAUGGUAAUAAUAAUUCCUCUAAUGAAAAUAAAGAGAAACUCAGAAAGCAAAAAUAUAUUUAAGUAUAGGCAUGUAGAAUAAACAAUGUUUAUGUCAUCACUGGAUGGGCACAUUGACUGUACUAUUGAACAGAAUUUAUAAUGCUUUAUGACUACAUGUUUCUAAUAUUAUGGAUAAAUCUUCAUAACAUUAAAAUAUAUAAAUAUUUCUCAUAAA